CAAAGAUAAGCUAACUUAAGCUAGUGGGCCCAUACCCCACUUAUGAAUCUCUCUUUGGA
rnacentral:tRNA from 1 species